UUUUCCCAUAGAAGUUAUUAAAAAAUACUGAGUUCCCUGAGCUAUACUGUAUAGGUCCUUGUUGAUAAUCUAUUUUACAUAAGUAAGUAGUCUAUAUAUUAAUCCCAAACACCUAAAAAUAAUUUAUUUUACCACUAAACAAAAAGAAAUUGUAAAAGCCAGAAAGAUAAUGCACCUCAAAUUUCCCAAUACUCAAGAAAAACUUUAUAGUCCCACAGAGUGAAAAAGCAAAGAACAAAGAGUUUCACAGCUUUUCAAUAGAUCGGUUGAGCAGAUAUACUAUAUCACACAUAAAAAUGGCAACAGCUUUCUAAUUUUAAAACAGGCUUUGAAAAAUUAAAUACCACAGUGCCCUCUACUGUCAUUUUUAAGGAACCCAAAUAAUCUGUAAACCCUAGGUCUUACAUUUCUGAAACUAUAUUCAAUAUAAUGAAGAAAAUGCUUUUCAUUAUUAAUAUAAUAAUUAACUUUCAUCUCAUAAAGAGAAGCAAUCUCAACUGUGUCUGUCUGCUUCAAGUGUAAAUAACAAUGAAAUUCUCAUGACCCCCUAGACUGUUUUUACCAGUACAUUAUUUUAUUUUAUAAAUGCCUCCUGAGUAAAGGCUUGGGGAGGGGAAACACUGUUAUAGGAGAGGAAGUAACUCUAUAAGGAGAAUAAAUAUCUUUAGAUAAGACUUGAAGAAAUCUGUGCCCCAGAGGGCAUACAUACCUAAAACAGCAGUCUCCAAAGUGAGUUAAGUACAAUAUCUCAAUGGACUGCAAAAAGAAAAUACUAUAACAUCUAUUUAUAAUUAAACAUUAAUAAUAUUUGGUAUAUAGAAUAAUACUCCCUCUAUGGAUGGUAUAUCACAUGGUUAUGUGUCAGGAUAUGUAGUAUUCUAAUAGAAAAGUAGGAGUUAAUGAAGUAUUAACAACAGCACCCACAAAGAAACUGUACAUACCCACAGAGAAUCUAUAUUGAGGAAAUUCAAAUUACACAAACGAACAAGUAUAUGGCAGAGCUCUUUCCUUCUUAACUCCUAUUUCAAACUCUUUAUUAGAGUUAAGAAAUACAAUCAUAUAUUACAAUAAUUUUAGAAAGUAGAAAUUAUAAAGAUCAUUUGAAUUGUAAAAUCAGAUUUUACUAUCACAAAAUUACAGUCACAGACCUCACUGUAAGUAUAUAUUAUGCAUCAAAAAUAAUAAAUAAUAAAAGUAGGACUCCAAAAUUAGCAAGACAUUUUUAAAUAGUUUAUUUCACCAUUAUCUCCUUCUUUUUAUCUUUGUUCAUGUUUUAUGAGGCAUAUUUUCAUUAGUUUAUGAUAAAUGUAUAUAUCACAGAAAUAUGUACACCUAUUAGAAUUACAUCCUAAAUUUUUUAACCAACUAUGGUAUAUAAUACCAAGAUAAUUACAAAAUAAUUACAGACCACUGGCCUAAAGAUAAGCUUGAUCUUAAUUACAGGAUCUAUAAUUAAGAAAAAAAAAUUAAUAGGUGUCAUUAUAACUAAAGAAGCCUUCAAGAGGAGCCAGAUGCUUGGAAAACAAAAGCCUGUAUACAGAGAGAUGACUAUAUACAGCAGCUAUAUAAAAGCCCCUACCACAGCUGCAAUGACAAAGUGACAGAUCAACUAAGGCUGGGAAUCUUAUCAUAAAGUUAUCAUCUAUAGUCAGUAUCCUACUAUUUCCUUUGUCCUCUUCUACAGAAAUACAAACAAAUAUAAAAAAUAUGCAGCAGGUUAAGUUAAGGAUCUGGUGAUGUCACUACAGGGGCCUGCCUGGGUUCGAUUCCUGGUCGAGGAACUUCCAUAUGCUGUUGGCAUGGAGGAAAAAAAAAUCUUUCUCAGUAUCAAGUUAAUCACUUUUUUCUGGAAACUGUUAUUUUAUACUUUCAUAAUUUGUCUUAAAUAUUAGUUACACAAACAUGUUUUCACUCAAUUCACUAUAAAUUCUAGAGGUAAUAAUUUAAUUAUUUUUCUAUAACUCAAGCUGUGCCUUUAUUGCAUACUGAAUUUAUAGUGAUUGAAUGAGCAAAGACUAUCCACACGAUUCAUCAAAGUAAGACUCCAGGUCCAUGUGUAGCAGAAUUUUAUACUCUUUAUCCAUUGACCAACUAAAAGAAACAGCAUGAAUGGCCAUCCUGACAAGCAGGGAGUCAAAGGUUAAAGUUAUCCCAAGGACCUCAGUAGAGAUACUUUACAAAAAAAAAAAAAAAUAGCAUAGAUAAAGGAACCAUGUUACUUGGAAACAUUUUCAUUUUGUUUAUUUUUCCUUCUCCUUUCCUUUGCCUAAAAACUGUCUAUAUUUUAAAAUAUAGAUUUUUGAAUAGCUGAUUAAGGAACUAUUCCUCUAAAUUUAUAUAAAUGUCCAUUUCUUCAAAAGAACAAAAUAGAAUUAAGAAUUUUCUUUGAUAAAAGAGAGAGAGAGCUUUAGCAGCACAUACACUAAAAUUGGAACAAAACAAAGAUUAGCAUGGUCCCUGCUCAAAAAAAUGAAAAGUUAUCCCAAGCUCCUGGAUCAGAAGAAUUAACAUUGUUUAAAUGGCCAUACUAACCAAAGCAAUCUACAGAAUUAAUGCAAUCUUUAUGAAAUUACCAGUGACAUUUUUCACAGAACUAGAACAAAUAAUCCUAAAAUUUAUUUGGAACCAUAAAAGACCCAGAAUUGCCAAAUCAAUUAUGAGGGGAAAAAAACUCUCCCAUACUUCAGACAAUACUACAAACCUACAGUAAUCAAAACAGUGUGGUAUUUGUACAAAAACAGACAUAUGGAUCAAUAGACCAGAACAGAGAGCACAGAAAGAAACUCACACACCUAAGAUUAAUCAAUCUUUGACAAAGGAGGUAAAUAUUUAUAUACAAUGCAAAAAAAGAUAGUCUUUUGGCAAGUGGUGCUGUGAAAACUGGACAGCUACAUGUCCAACAAUGAAGUUAGAACUCACCCUCACACCAUGCACAAAAAUAAACUUAAAAUGGCUUAAAGACAAACAAGACAUGAAACCAUGAAAUCCAAGAAGAAAUCAUAGGCAAAACAUUCUCUGGCAUAAAUCAUAACAAUGUUUUCUUGUCAGUCUCCAAGGCAAUAAAAAUAAAAACAAAACAAAACAAAAAAAACAAAUUGGGAGUUUCCACUGUGGCUCAGUGGGUUAAGAACUCGACAUAGUCUCUGUGAGGGUGCUGGUUCAAUCCAUGGUCUUGCUCAAUGGGUUAUGGAUCCAACAUUGCCACAAGCUGCUAUGCAGUUCACAAAUCUAUCUCGGAUCUGGUGUUGCUGUGGCUGUGGCAUAAGUUGGCAGCUGCAGCCCUGAUUUGACCCCGAGCCUGGGAAUUUCCAUAUGCCACAGGUGCAGCCUUAAAAAGAAAGAAAAAAAAGGAAAAAAAAAUUUUUAAACAUAGUACCUAGGCGUUCCCAUCGUGGCUCAGUGGUUAACGAAUCCGACUAGGAACCAUGAGGUUGCAGGUUCGAUCCCUGGCCUUGCUCAGUGGGUGAAGGAUCCAGCAUUGCUGUGAGCUGUGGUGUAGGUUGCAGACACGGCUCAGAUCCUGCAUUGCUGUGGCUCUGGCAUAGGCCGGUGGCUGCAGCUCUGAUUCAGCCCCCUAGCCUGGGAACCUCCAUAUGCCGUGGGAGCUGCCCAAGAAAUAGCAAAAAAAAGACAAAAAAAAAAAAAAAGAGAAAGACAAAUACCAUAUGAUAUCGCUUAUAUCUGGAAUCUAAUAUACAGCACAAAUGAACCUCGCCACGGAAAAGAGAAUCAUGGACGUGGAGAAGAGAUUUUUGGUUGCCAAGGGGGUGGGAGUAAGAUGGAUUCGGAAUUUGGGGUUAAUAGAUGCAAACUGUUGCAUUUGGAAUGGAUGAACACUGAGAUCCUGCUGUAUAGCACUGGGAACUAUGUCUAGUCACUUAUGAUGCAGCAUGAUAAUGUAAGAAAAAAGAAUGUAUACAUGCAUGUGUGACUAGGUCACCUUUCUGUACAGUAGAAAAUUGACAGAAUACUGUAAACCAGCUUUAAUGGAAAAAAUAAAAAUCAUUAUAAUGAAAAAAAAUAGUACCUAAUUAAACUUACAAGCUUUUGCACAGCAAAGGAAACCAUAAACAAAACAAAAAGAUAAUGUAUGGCAUGGGAGCAAACGAUGCAACCAACAAAGCUGUAUAUACAAACAACUAUACAACUCAACAGCAAAAAAAUAAACAACCCAAUCAAAAAAUGGGCAGGAGACCGAAAUAGACAUUUCUCCAAUGAGGACAUAAGGAUGGCCAGUAGGCACAUGAAAAGAUGCUCAACAUCGCUAACUAUCAGUGAAAUGCAGAUCAAAACUACAAUGAAUGAAGUACCACCUCACACCAGUCAGAAUGGUCAUCAUUAAUAAGUCUACAAAUAACAAAUGCUGGAGAGGGGGUGGUGAAAAGGGAACCCUCUUACACUGUUUGUAGGAAUGUAAACUGGUAUAAUCACUAUGGAAAACAGUAUAAAGUUUUCUCAGAAAAGUAAAUGUAGGACUACCACAUGAUCCAGGAAUCCCACUCCUGGGCACAUAUCAAAACAAAACUACAAUUCAAAAAGAUACAUGCACGCAUAUGUUCAUAGUAGCCCUAUUCACAAUAGCCGAGACAUAGAAAUAAGCUAAAUGUCCAUCAAAGAUGAAUGGAUUAAGAUGUAGUACAUAUACACAAUGGAAUACUACUCAAUCACUCAAUCAUAAAAAAAUGAAAUAAUGCCAUUUGCAGCAACAUGGAUGCAACUAGAGAUUCCCAUAUUAAGUGAAGUAAGUCAGAAAGAGAAAGACAGAUACUAUAUGAUAUCAUUUUUAUGUAGAAUCUAAAAUGUGGUACGACUGAACCUAUCCACAGAACAGAAACAGACUCACAGACAUGGAGAACAGAUUUGUGGUUGCCAAGCGGGAGGAGGGAGAGAAGGAUGAAGGGGGCAAUGUGGGGUUGGCAGAUGCAAAUUAUUACAUUUAAAAUGGAUAAGCAAUGAGGUCCUACCGUAUAGCACAAGGAACUAUAUUCAAUCACUUGGGACAGGACAUGAUGUAAGACAGUAUGAGAAAAAGAAUGUAUAUGUAUGUAUGACUGGGUCACUAUGCUACACAGCAGAAAAUGGCACAACACUGUAAAUCAACUAUAAUAAAAAAAUAAAUAAAAUGUAAAAAAAAACAAAAAUACUAAUUCGAAAAGACAUAUGUACACCAAUGCCCAUUCAGCACUACUUACAAUUGCCAAGAUACUGAAGCAACCUAGGUGUCCACAGAUAGAUGAAUGAUUAAAGAAGAUGUGGAAUAUAUAUAUAUAUAUAUAUGAAUAUUAUUCAUCUAUAAAAAAAGUGAAAUCUUGCCAUUUGUGAAAACACAGAUGGACCUAGACAGUAUAAUACUAAGUGAAAAAAGCCAUACAAAGAAAGACAAAUACCACAUAAAUUUCACUUACAUAUAGAGUCCAAAAAAUAAAACAAAGCAAAGCAAAACAAAAACAUACUCAUAGAUAUAGAGAACGAUCUGGUGAUUAUCAGAAGGGAGAUUACCAAAAGGGUGGGAGGUUGAGUGAAAUAAGUGAGGGAGAUUAAGUGGUACAAAUUUUCAGUAAAAUAAAUGUCACAGAGUUGUAAUGUACAGCAAAGGGAAUAUAUAGUCAAUAAUAUUGUAAUAUCUUUUUACGGUGACAGAUGGUAACUAGAAUUAUCCGGGCAAUCAUUUUGUAAUGUAUAAAAUUACCAAAUCACUAUAUUGUACACCUGAAACUAAUAUAAUACUGAAAGUCAAUUAUAUUUUAACUAACAAAAAAUUCAAACUUGGAAGAUGGAAGGAUGAGAAAUGCUUUCAUGAAAUACGUAGUAUUUGAGUUAGACCUUGGAAUAGAGUAGGAUUUCAGACAACACAGAUGAAGGAGGAGCAUUCAAUACACAGAAUAACAGAACAGAUGCAAACAGCAAAACAUAAAAAAAAAAAAAAACACCUGUUUUAGGGAAUGGUUCCGCAUAAGUGGAGAAGAGGGUAUGUGAUGCAUAUAGUAGAAGGAAAGACCAAGCAAGACAGGUUAAGGUUUGACCUCCAAGGCUCUGCAUGUCACACUUAAGUCUGGACAAUUAGUAAUCUUUACCUAAAAUAUAAACAUGGGAGAUCUCCAGGAAAGGAAUAAAAUAAGCAGAACUGUUAAAAUCUAGUGAACUCUGUUGAAAGGAAACUGGAUAGAUGACAAAAUGAAGGAUGGAAAACUACUUCAAUUAUUACAGGACUGUAAAAAUUCAGGGCAGAGCAAUGGCAUUGAGAAAAUCCAGAUACUAAAGAGUAGUACAGGAGUUCCCACUAUGUCGCAGCAGAAUGGGUGGUGUCUCUGCAGUGUAGGAUGCAGGUUCAAUCCCUGGCCUGGUACAGUGGGGUAAAGGAUCCAGGGUUUCCACAGUUACAGCGUGGGUCACAGCAGUGGCUCAGAUCUGCUCCCUGUCCAAGUAACUAAAAAUGCCACAAGGGCAGCCAAAAAAGGAAAAAAAAAAAAUAGUUUAAACACCACCUUCACUGUGGAGCUGCAGGUAGUCUCUCCCACCUCUGUCCUCCUAAAAUGCUACUCAUGAUACAAUUACAACUGUCUUACAUGUGCGUUUCCCCCUUAAAACUGCUUGAUGCUAACAGCUAAGUUUCAUUCACUUUUAUACCCCUAGUACCCAGCUCAGUGAAAGACUAUCGUUUGGGAGCAGUCACUGGCAUUCCUUGGUACCCUGGCCAUAAGGUUACUUUAAUACUAGUUAUACAGCUAGAUUGGGCUGUUUCUCUACCACUUUCACAGACAUACAAGAAUAAACCUCAAAAGAAGGCUGUUCAAGUUUAAAAAGUCCUAGUCAUAGGGGAGUUCCCGUGGUUAACGUAUCCAACUAGGAACCAUGAGGUUGAGGGUUCGAUCCCUGGCCUUGCUCAGUGGGUUAAGGAUCCGGCGUUGCCGUGAGCUGUAGUGUAGGUUACAGAUGCGGCUCGGAUCCCACGUUGCUAUGGCUCUGGCGUAGGCUGGCAGCUACAGCUCCAAUUAGACUCCUAGCCUGGAAACCUCCAUAUGCCAAGGGAGCGGCCCUAGAAAAGGCAAAAAAAAAAAAAGAGUAAUUAUCUUUUUCUUUUGAUCAUACACAAAGUACUUACUGAUAUGCUACAACAUCAGUAUUAUCUCUUUAGUGCACACAUUAUGUAAGACAAAUUCAAAAAUAAUUACGGAAGGAAAAUAUCAGGAACUAUAAAAAAAUUAAUGAGUUAAUUAAAUUAAUAAACUAGUCAUCAUUAGAAUCUGCCUUCCCCAAUAGUUUUCCAGAAUUACAAAUUAAGUCAAUCACUAACAAGGGUACGAGUUAGCAAUUCUGAAACAACUUUAUAUGAAGGUGGAAUAAAUAAUAUGCUAUAGAUAUAGAUAACGACAGCUGAGUUUCUCACUGUCAAAAAAAGAAGUUACAAACCAAGAAAAGAGGAGGGCUAGAACCCUAUGGUAUUAGGUGGAACGCACAAGUGUUUGUGUAUGUGUAUGUACACAGAGUCAAUCAUACAUAUACACAUACCUAUGGAUAUACAUACACAUAUAUUUAUAUACAUACACAGAUUCAGAUAUAAAUAACAGAUGUAAACCAAGCAUGGGUCAGUAAAUGUACAUAAAUAUCCUAGCUCCAUCUGCUGAUAAUAUGGACAUCCUAGUAGCAAUGAACAAACCUAAAGCCCAGGUCUUAGUUUCUAAUACCAUUCACGAAUAAACCAGGGCUUCAUUGAGAAGUGGUUGAUUCUAGGUCUGAGAUGGAGAAAAUACAAAAUGAAUCUGGACCAAUUUUAUGGUGCCAGAAAGGUUAAGUCCUCAAAAGAGAAUAAACAUAUUCAAAGUAUCCAGGGGCCAACCUUGAAAGAGCUCCCAACUGCCCAAGAGGAAAAAUAUCAGUACCAAAAUAAAUAGUAAGAGUACCAAAUUAUAACCCAGAGAAUAAAACAAAUAUCAAUGAUUACAUACAGAUGUAAGUAAACUGAAUAAAUAAAUUAGAAGAGGCAUGGAGUUCCCUUCGUGGCACAGUGGUUAACGAAUCUGACUAGGAACCAUGAGAUUGCAGGUUCAAUACCUGGCCUUGCUCAGUGGGUUAAGGAUCCAGCAUUGCCGUGAGCUGUGGUGUAGGUUACAGACGCGGCUCGGAUCCCGUGUUGCUGUGGCUCUGGCGUAGGCAGGCGGCUGCAGCUCCAAUUCGACCCCUAGCCUGGGAACCUCCAUAUGCCACAGGAGCAGCCCUAGAAAAGGCAAAAAGACAAAAAAAUAAAUAAAUUAGAAGAGGCAGCCCUUUCAUACAGAAAAUUCCAAUCAAUAAAUUUAAGAAGAGUUCCUGCUGUAGCUCAGCAGGUUAAGAACCUGACUAGUAUCUAUGAGGAUGUGGGUUGGAUCCCUGACCUCACUUAGUGGAUUGAGGAUCCUGCAUUCCUGUGAGCUGUUGUAUAGAUCUCAGACGCAGCUCAGAUCCGGGGUGACUACAGCAUAGGCCGGCAGCUGCUGCUUCUAUUCUACCCCAGCCUGGGAACUU
rnacentral:lncRNA from 1 species